UUGUUUCGUAGAAGUGAGUCAUUUUGCAAGACAUUUGGAAAGAAAACAUGAUGACGAAAGUCGAGUAAAAAAUAUUUUAUCUUUUCCAAAAGGAUCUAAUGAAAGGAAAACCUUAUGGGAUUAUUUACGCAAGGAAGGAAAUUUUCAUUUGUUUAGAGAAGAAAAAAAAGUGGUGGCUGUUCGAAGGCCCACGGAAGCCCAAGCAUUAGACUUUGACGAUUUUGUUGUUUGCGAAAACUGUUCUGGGGUGUACAAAAAUUUUUUUUCUAUAAGCAUGCUAAAAAUGCCAAGAAAAACACUGGUACAAAGUGUGGGCGACUAAAUGCCUUAACUCAAUCCCAAACAUUUUCAGCGGAUUCUCGCUGCCAAAACAGUUUUUUAUCACAGUCAAGAUUAAAGAAAGAGGUAUUUUGCAUUAUGAAAGCAGAUAAAAUAAGCGCCACCUCAAAAAAUGAUAUUUUUAAUAUGUUUAUUCGGGGAAACCCAUCUCAAAAAACAUAAAAGAAAGCAAAUUGUAACAGUAGCAACAAAAUGAGAGAAUUAGCAAGACUUUUGAUUGCUCUUAGAGAGUUCACACCUGUUCAGAACCUAAUUGAUGCUAUGAAACCAGAAUUAUUUGACGAUUUAGUUACGGCCACAAAAGUAAUUUCGGGAUUUAGCAAUGCCGAUAAAAGCUUUAAAUCUUCUUCAUUAGCACUUCAUAUGGGUACCACUUUAAAACAAGUAUGCGAUAUAACUAAUCGAAUGAUUUUAAAAAAAUUUCCAUUCUUUACCUUUAAAAACCCUAAUGAGGAAAAAAAGCAUUCCAGAUUUUAAAACAUUAGAGACCAGUUGGGCCAAUGAAAUUUCUUCAUUAGGCCUUAAAACAAUAAAAGAACGGCAAUGGGAAAACCCCAAAUACUGCCGGUGACAAGUGAAGUAAUUAAGUUUAAUAGUUUUGUCAAAAAUCAGGUUGAAGACAGUGCCAAAAAAUUAAACAAACUUUUAGAAAAGAAGGGGAAACAAAAUGACAAAAAUAAUUUACUUCCUUUAUAUAAAACCUUAGCAAAAGGAGUAAUGGCCCUUCUUUUAAUACUAAAUAGAAAACGCAUCGGUGAGAUUCAAUACCUUGAAAUUUCUACUUACAAAAGAUCAUUUGCGGACCCCAGUGUUCAACAAGAAAUUGCUGAAAGUUUAACUGUUUCAGAAAAACUAUUGUGUAGAAACUUUUAGAAGAAUUAUUUUAUUUUAAUUUCUCCUUUUUUAAACGAGAAAAUUGAGCUGAUGAUUAAAAUAAGAGAAAAAAUAAAAUUAAUUCCAAAAGAUAAUAAAUACAUUUUUGCAAAUCCCAAUUCGUCGAAAGGUUGGUUUCAUGGAACAAGUGUAAUUAAACAAUUUGCAAAAAGCUGUGGGGCAAAGGAUCCCAACUCUCUAACUUCUACCGAAUUUCGAAAACAGACUGCAACAAUUUUACAGAUUAUGGAUAUUCAUAAUACUGACAUGGAACAAUUAGCCACUUUUAUGGGUCAUACAAAAAAAACCAUGAAGAAUGGUAUAGUUGUAAUAUUUUUUUAGACUUCCUCAAGAUCUAUACCAGACUGCAAAAAUAGCCAAACCAAUGAUCGCUUUAAAUAAAGGUGAUGUUAAUAUUUACAAAGGAAAGAGCUUAGACGAUAUCAAUAUAGAAGAAAAUGACUACUUGGAAAUUGAAAACAUAGAAACAGAAGUAAAUGAAAUAAAUGAAAAGAGCCUACUCAUUCUUGGAGUCCUAAAAGUAAUUGUAGCGAUGUAACUGACGAAAAAAUUGAACAAGCUAAUAAAAAUGAAAAAGUUUCGUCGAAGGGUAAAAGAAAGUUAUCUACCGAUGAAAUGACGCAUCCAAUGCAAAAUAAUAAAGUUACAAAAAGAAAGCCAACUACUGAAAAAACCGAAAGCAGUUCAAAUGCGAUUGCAGGCACCGAUGGACCGAAAAGGACAAACAAACGAUGCUUAAAUACUUUACAAGAUUCAUAAAAGAAAAAGAGUUCCGAAAAAAGCAGACGUACAGGAAUUUAAAAAAAAAAUAAAGCUGGAGAAAACUUUAAAUCAAUUGAUGGGGUAAAAAUUAAAACGUUUGUUUACAAUUCUUACAGAAUGUAGUUUUUGUGAAGUUUUUAUUAAAUAACGUGUUUCUAAA
rnacentral:lncRNA from 1 species